AAGCCAAUGAUGAUUAUUAUUUAAUAAAUUGGAAUUACCGUCUGAAUUACAGAUUUGAUGUUAGAUCGACUAUCUGAGGCUUCAU